ACUAAGAAACCUACUUAUUUUAACCCCAACAUCAAUAUUCCUGGUGCUUUCCCAGUCGUUUACGGACAUAUGCCAAUGAUAAAAAAAACACUGCACUUUUUCAGCUGAGGCAGAAUACACCAAUGAUCUGCCUUUUUGUUUCAGUUCUCAUACUGUAAACAAGGACCCUUUAAUCCAGUUUUUGAGUUCUUAUGCUUUUUUAUUGGUGAUUUUGCUAUUUAACAUGGGUUCCAAGCUAAAGUGAUAUGCCUUAUACAGAAAAUACAUUUGUUAGACAAAACUUCGUCCAGGUAUGAGUUACAGUACUCUUCAUUUGAGUUCCCACAUGAAGGAAACAUCACCACCACCACCACUAUCAUCAUCAUCUUUUCAUUUUUUUGAGACAGGGCUCGCUAUGUAGCCCAGGCUAGCCUUGAACGUGCAGUGAUCCUUCUGCCUCAGCCUCCUGAGUGCUGGGACUACAGGGAGUGUGCCACCAUGCCUGGCAGCAAAAGUACUAUUAAUUAAAGACUUCAAACAAAAAUUAACAUCAAACACGGUUAUAUAUUGUGACUAAUAGGAACCUAACCCUGUGCUUUUCCAAUGAGCAAUGAUUAAGUAUUCUGUUUAUGGCAACUUCAGAACAAAACUACCAUGAGUAGCAAGCACUGACAGUAACAUUUGUCCAAUAUAUCAUGUGAGUGCACUUAUACAGUCAGUACCAGCUUGAUUCCUAUUUCACCUCCUCAUGUGCCUUCUAUGUACUGUCCACCAGCUGACUACGCAACCACAGUUAUAUACUUGAUAGGUUCCAAGGAUGUGCUGUGUCUUGGGCAUAAGAUUGGGAGGAGGAAGUAAGAUGCUUGCCUUCACCUUGCGGAAGUUUCUGGUGUUGAAUAAGCUAUGUGACUUAAAAGUUUUUCCUAGCACUAGAAUUCUAGGACUCAAUUAAAUUUAGAAAACUCAGGACACAAGCAGAACCCCAAUUUUUUCAUAAGGUUCUGGGAUAUCUGAGUAUACAGGAGACUAAAUUUGGGGAGAUUAGACAGUUACAGAGAACUGUGCCUUUUAGAGGAGAAAUGGAGCUUUGGGACCAAAGGACAUCUGUCUAGGAAGUUGUAAGAUCUAAAAUGUCUCCCUGAAGUCAUCUGUUCAGAGAUGGGGCCUUCAGAAGAUGAUUCAGCCAUGAGGACUGUAACUUGAAGACAUCUCUCAAGUUGGAAAUAUUUUGGAAGACGGUGACGUAACAACCAAUACGACUAUUAAGAAGUAAACAAGAGACACACACAGGUUGAAAGUCCCUCUGGCUGGAAGCCAGGUUGACGGCCACAAGGGCACAGACAGUCUCAGAGGAGUUGAAAGCUCUGUCAGACUGAGAGAAGUGGGCCUACACUUCAACAAGUGAGCACCAAGAGAACAUUGAGAAACGAUCAGCAAAGAGUGCGAUGGACUGAGAGGUCUGAAUCCAGGAAAAGUCAGCAAAGCCAAUGGACUGACAGGUGCUAAGGAUGGAACCCAGGCCUUGCACAUGCUAGGGUUUUACUCAGUUGCUAAGUUGCCAUUGCUGGGUGUGAAUCUGUGGUCCUCCUACCUCAGCCUCUCAGAGUGCUGGAAUUAUACCUGUGCACCACUACACUCAGAUUGAACUCACGACCUCGCACUUGCCAGACAGGGUCUUACAGGCGCUGAGCUAAACCCCUGGCCUUUGCCUGAAUAAUCCUACAUUAAUGGGUCGAAAGAGUGGUAUGUCUUGAAGACACAGGGGCUUAGUGUUUGCGUUCUUCCCAGAUCUUGCCUUAUAUGCUCCUUCAUUUGGCUGGUCUUGGUUUGUAUCCUUUAUAAUAAAAGCAUAAUGAUAAACAACA